GAUGAACGCUGGCGGCGUGCUUAACACAUGCAAGUCGAACGGUGAAGGCGGAGCUUGCUCUGCUGGAUCAGUGGCGAACGGGUGAGUAACACGUGAGCAAUCUGCCCCUGACUCUGGGAUAAGCGCUGGAAACGGCGUCUAAUACUGGAUACGAGCUGCGAAGGCAUCUUCAGCAGCUGGAAAGAAUUUCGGUCAGGGAUGAGCUCGCGGCCUAUCAGCUUGUUGGUGAGGUAAUGGCUCACCAAGGCGUCGACGGGUAGCCGGCCUGAGAGGGUGACCGGCCAGACUGGGACUGAGACACGGCCCAGACUCCUACGGGAGGCAGCAGUGGGGAAUAUUGCACAAGGGGCGAAAGCCUGAUGCAGCAACGCCGCGUGAGGGACGACGGCCUUCGGGUUGUAAACCUCUUUUAGCAGGGAAGAAGCGAAAGUGACGGUACCUGCAGAAAAAGCGCCGGCUAACUACGU
rnacentral:rRNA from 1 species